GCAUAUCAAUAAGCGGAGGAAAAGAAACCCAACCGGGAUUGCCUUAGUAACGGCGAGUGAAGCGGCAAAAGCUUCAAAUUUGAAAUCUCCGCAAGGCGAGUUGUAAUUUGAAGAAGGCGACUUUGGAAUGGGCCCUUGUCUAUGUUCCUUGGAACAGGACGUCACAGAGGGUGAGAAUCCCGUGCGAUGGGGUGUCCCGUUCCGUGUAAAGUGUUUUCGACGAGUCGAGUUGUUUGGGAAUGCAGCUCUAAGUGGGUGGUAAAUUCCAUCUAAAGCUAAAUAUUGGCGAGAGACCGAUAGCGAACAAGUACAGUGAUGGAAAGAUGAAAAGCACUUUGAAAAGAGAGUGAAAAAGUACGUGAAAUUGUUGAAAGGGAAGGGCUUGAGAUCAGACUUGGUGACUCGUCACUGGGCCAGCAUCGGUUCGGGUGGCAGGACAAGACCGUGGGAACGUGGCUCUGCUUCGGCGGAGUGUUAUAGCCCGCGGUGAUACUGCCUACCUGGACCGAGGACUGCGGAAACUAGGAUGCUGGCAUAAUGAUCUUAAGCCGCCCGUCUUGAAACACGGACCAAGGAGUCUAACGUCUAUGCGAGUGUUUGGGUGUUAAACCCGUACGCGGAAUGAAAGUGAACGUAGGUGAGGGCCGAAAGGUGCAUCAUCGACCGAUCCUGAUGUCUUCGGAUGGAUUUGAGUAAGAGCAUAGCUGUUGGGACCCGAAAGAUGGUGAACUAUGCCUGAAUAGGGUGAAGCCAGAGGAAAACUCUGGUGGAGGCUCGUAGCGGUUUCUGACGUGCAAAUCGAUCGUCGAAAUUUGGGUAAUAAGGGGCGAAAGACUAAUCGAACCAUCUAGUAGCUGGUUCCUGCCG
rnacentral:rRNA from 1 species